ACGGGAGGCAGCAGUGGGGGAUAUUGCACAAUGGGGGAAACCCUGAUGCAGCAACGCCGCGUGAGGGAAGAAGGUCUUCGGAUUGUAAACCUAAGUAGUCAGGGACGAUAAUGACGGUACCUGAAGAGUAAGCUCCGGCUAACUACGUGCCAGCAGCCGCGGUAAUACGUAGGGAGCGAGCGUUGUCCGGAUUUACUGGGUGUAAAGGGUGCGUAGGCGGGCUUGCAAGUCAGACGUGAAAUGCCGGGGCUUAACUCCGGAGCUGCGUUUGAAACUGUAGGUCUUGAGUGAAGUAGAGGUAGGCGGAAUUCCUAGUGUAGCGGUGAAAUGCGUAGAUAUUAGGAGGAACACCAGUGGCGAAGGCGGCCUACUGGGCUUUAACUGACGCUGAGGCACGAAAGCAUGGGGAGCAAACAGGAUUAGAUACCCUGGUA
rnacentral:rRNA from 2 species